AGAGUUUGAUCCUGGCUCAGAAUGAACGCUGGCGGCAUGCCUAACACAUGCAAGUCGAACGAAGCCUUCGGGCUUAGUGGCGCACGGGUACGUAACGCGUGGGAAUCUGCCCUUGGGUUCGGAAUAACUCACCGAAAGGUGUGCUAAUACCGGAUGAUGUCGCAAGACCAAAGAUUUAUCGCCCAAGGAUGAGCCCGCGUAGGAUUAGCUAGUUGGUGAGGUAAAGGCUCACCAAGGCGACGAUCCUUAGCUGGUCUGAGAGGAUGAUCAGCCACACUGGGACUGAGACACGGCCCAGACUCCUACGGGAGGCAGCAGUGGGGAAUAUUGGACAAUGGGCGAAAGCCUGAUCCAGCAAUGCCGCGUGAGUGAUGAAGGCCUUAGGGUUGUAAAGCUCUUUUACCCGGGAUGAUAAUGACAGUACCGGAGA
rnacentral:rRNA from 1 species